rnacentral:snRNA from 1 species
GUUCUCACUUUGACAGCACAUGAAUUAAAACUGGAAUGAUACAGAGAUGAUUAGCAUGGCCCCUACACGUGGAUGAUAUACAAGUUUGUGAAGUGUGACAUAUUUUA